UUCACUGCCGUCCGCGACACCCCUCCGCCAUCCACUGCACCAACACCCCUCGCUCCCCAAUUUCAUGCGCGACACCUCUCCAUCCUCGGGUAACAUGCCGGAUCAGUUACCCCUAUCUGUUCUGAGACCUCUCAAAUCACAAAUUAAGCACUGCUUAAACUGUAUAGAAGUUGAGAUGGACCUUAUGUUUGCAAAAAAGUGGAGGAGUCUUAACCUGCAAUAAGGUGGGUCCUGCUACGCUGGAUGUAGAUCAGGUGUUCUUGUAGCUCAGCAGUGGGAAAGAACCUCAAGCGGGAAUUUGAUCUUUCAGUUAAAGAGGAGGAAUGUUGGAGAGCUGUUGUCAGAGCUUUUACAGCAAACCAAGACUCAAGAGCCUACAGAUUUUGAUUCUCCUGGAGGACAAGCCUGCAGACUUCUUUAAACCAUGCUUUGACUCUGAUGAUCCAGUCAUUCCACCACCUUGAAAUCCUAUUCUUAUUGCAGACAAAGCCUCAGUUAAGAUGAUCAUUGAGGGACAACUUGUGAUGGACUGCAUCAAAGACUUGUCAAAAGCUGUGCAUUCUCUUUGGACUACUAUACCCCAAGUCGACAAAGAACACUUUUCUCUUCAUCCAACAAAGUUCUCCUCAUGUUGGGCUACAGUGACUUAAAGCCCAAGCUACAGACAUUAAAUAAUUAAAUUGCUUUUCGAUUCACUGCAAAAUUUGCACAAUUGUUCUAUUAGCAAUGAUUGCUAAUGCCAGAAAGAAAUGUGAAUGAAACUUUAACAAA